GACGAACGCUGGCGGCGUGCUUAACACAUGCAAGUCGUACGACAGCAUUUCCUUUUAGGUUGUGUUUGGAGUGGCGAACGGGUGAGUAACACGUGAGUGACCUGCCCUUCACUUUGGGAUAACGUGCGGAAACGUGCGCUAAUACCAAAUAUUCGCAUUUCUGCUGCAUGGUGGGGUGUGGAAAGGGGCCUUCGGGUUCGUGGUGGGGGAGUGGGCGUCGCGGCCUAUCAGCGUGUUGGUGGGGUGGAUGGCCUACCAA
rnacentral:rRNA from 1 species